AUGCAUAAAAGCCGAAAGGCUGUAUUUAUUAGUCUAGACCAAAGCUUUAUGAGGAAUCAUAAUAACUUAUCGAAGCGCAGCAAUGCGCUACAUCAUUCAAGUUUCUACCCUAUCAGCUUAUCCGUAGUGUAUUGGACUACGGAGGCAGUAACGGGUAACGGAGAAUUGGGGUUCGAUUCCGGAGAGGGAGCCUGAGAAACGGCUACCAUUUCUAAGGAAGGCAGCAGGCGCGUAAAUUACCCAAUCCUGACUCAGGGAGGUAGUUAAUAGAAAUAACAAUUUCGGCCCUAUGGGCUCUGAUUUUGUAAUGAGCUGAAUUUAAAUCACUCUUUGAAUCCUAUUAGAGGGCAAGUCUGGUGCCAGCAGCCGCGGUAAUUCCAGCUCUAAUAGCGUAUAUUAAUGUUGUUGCAGUUAAAAAGCUCGUAGUUGAAAUUCCGUCGAUUUAUCGACUGUCGGGGACACCUAAGGAUAAUGUCAAAAUUUUCUUUAUAUUGAACCGACUUUUACUGUGAACAAAUUAAAGUGCUUAAAGCAGGCAAUCGCUUGAAUAUUUUAGCAUGGAAUAAUAGAAUAUGA
rnacentral:rRNA from 1 species